rnacentral:snRNA from 1 species
UUCUUUCGCCUUUUACUAAAGAAUACCGUGUGUUUGUCACUAUAAGCGGCAUAAGCCAGUUUUUGGGAAGGGUCUUCUUAGGAGGGCCU